GAAUGGUUUUUCAAAAUUUUAUCUUCUCUUCUUUCCUCAUGCUUGCACCACCCCCAAUUCCACCCUAGGUUACUACUACUGACCCCCUGCAUUGUUCCAGUCCCCUCCAGAAGGCAGUUUCACCCACUUUAGGAACCUAUGGUAUACACCUAUAGCCACUCACCUUUGCAAAUGAAAGGAGGUGUGAACUCUGGCUAUGGUAGCAGGACCCAUGAAGUUACUGGGCAGAGUCCAUCAGUGAUGGGAAACCUGGGAUAUAGUCAGCACUGAUCCUUUUCAUCCUGCC
rnacentral:lncRNA from 1 species